rnacentral:snRNA from 1 species
UGGAUGGUCUCCGCAUUCGAUAAAAAUUGAGAUGAUACAAAAAAGAUUAGCAUGCCCUUAUGCAAGGAUGACACACAAAUCGAGAAAUGGUCCAAAUUUUU